rnacentral:lncRNA from 1 species
AUGAUUUCGACCCGAGAGGACAAGAAGGCUGAGUCAGGAGGAGAUCCUGAAAGCAAGCAGAGCCGGGGAAGAUGUGCGUACAGUCUUGCCCUCUACCUGUCCCCUCUGUCCCGUGCAAAGAUGCAGUUCAUCACUGAGAAAGAACUGCUGUCCUCGGUUCAUCAGGAAGCCUCACGUGCCGGUGACCCAGCGAGGGGAAGUCAGGACGGGGAUUCUGCUGACGCUGCCCCUCUACGACGUCCUCAGGUUGUGCGCUUGCGGGUGGGAAGACUUCGCUUGCUGGCUUUUCCUUUCUUUCCUUCCAGCAGCUCAGCGGCAGAGGUCAUGUUGCCAGGGAGCCCUGCCUGGGAACCAUGGGAGGAGAAUGAACAAACUGCCAGCCCAUCAUGGACGCAGUUCCCCGUGAAGGCUGGGUGGACCCACACUGCUACAGCUCUCUGGCCCAUUCCAGGAAAGCUCCUUGGUCAAACCGAGUUGAAAACCACUUCCGCUCCCAGCCCCAGCCCUCCAGACUUCCCUGGGGUGGGAACAGCUCACGCUAAGCCAAGAGUGUGGACUGAACGGGCUUUGCAGUUGCUGCUGCAGGUGUGAGAAGCCACCCACCUAGACACUACGCGCACAAAGCGUCCACGUCUGGCCCCUCCAAGCCCCGGAAGCCAGAGCUGCCGCCUUCCUCCGCCCGCGCUGCCGGCGUCUCCAUCUGGACGCGCUGUCUGUCCCUCUAAAGCACGUUGUCCAUCAUCUGACUGUUGGGCUGCAGUUCUCUGGCAUUCCGUGUGUGUGUGUGUGUGUGUGUGUGUGUGUGUGUGUGUGUGUGAAGGUGACACACAGGAAGUAGCAAACUUUUGCGGGGACUUCUGCGCUUUAAACCCUGCAUCUCCCUCUAAUGCAGUGCGUGAAGGUGCAGGUCCUGUUCUCCCCGCCCAAGGUUAGGGUAAUCAGGGGCUGGGGAUAUAGCUCAGUGGCAUAAGCGCCUGCCUGGCAAGUGCAAGAUCGUGAGUUCGAUCUCCGGUACCACAAAACAAACAAACAAACAAACAAACAAAAAACACCUUAUAAAAGAGGCCCAAAAAGCAAGGUUAGGGUAAUCACUACUUCACAGGUGUGUGGGGGCCGAGACUCACAAGUUCACAUCAUUGCCCGUUUCCUUCCCUAAAGGCCCAGGCAAGGAGUCCACCGCGGUGCCCUGCUUGCAACUGGGAGCGGCAAUGUG